rnacentral:rRNA from 1 species
AAUAAAUGCUAUCGGUAUGCUUAACACAUGCAAGUUGAAUGUUUUUUAAAAACAUAGCGAACGGGUGAGUAACACGUGAAUUAUCUACCUUUUAAUUCAGAAUAAUUAUUUUUAUAAAAAUACUGAAUAAAUAAAUUAAAGUUUUUUUAACGUUAAAAGAUGAGUUUGCGCAAGAUUAUGGUAGUUGGUUGUUUAAAAGACUACCAAGCCUAUUAUCUUUAGCUGAUUUGAAAGAAUGAUCAGCCACAUUGGGACUGAGACACGGCCCAGACUCCUACGGGAGGCAGCAGUGGGGAAUCUUAGACAAUGGGGGCAACCCUGAUCUAGCCAUGCCGCGUGAGUGAUGAAGGCCUUAGGGUUGUAAAGCUCUUUCAGCUGGGAAGAUAAUGACGGUACCAGCAGAAGAAGCCCCGGCUAACUCCGUGCCAGCAGCCGC